GGACUAUUGGCCCAAUGGCAAGGCGUGAGACUUCGAAUCUUGAGAUCGCAGGUUCGACCCCUGCAUAGUCCU
rnacentral:tRNA from 2 species